rnacentral:rRNA from 1 species
UACAGAGGGGGCAAGCGUUGUUCGGAAUUACUGGGCGUAAAGGGCGCGUAGGCGGCCUGUUAAGUCGAACGUGAAGUCCCCGGGCUUAACUCGGGAACUGCGUCUGAUACUGGAAGGCUCGAGUUCGGGAGAGGAAUGUGGAAUUCCAGGUGUAGCGGUGAAAUGCGUAGAUAUCUGGAGGAACACCGGUGGCGAAGGCGGCAUUCUGGACCGAAACUGACACUGAGGCGCGAAAGCCAGGGGAGCAAACGGG